UGAUAAAAAGUACGUAAAUAGUUUACAGAAAGAUUCAGAGAUACAUUCAAGGGAAAGCUAAGGUCAAGAUAUGAAUCAACCAAAGGAAAAUGCAACAGAGAGACAGCCUAUUCAUUUGCUAAUCUAUUAAUAUGUCGCCACCCAGUAGCCUGGAAAAAGAAGUCCUGAGCAACCACUAGCAUCCGGUUGCAUCCAGUAACCAUACCCUCCCGCUGUUCCAAAGGGAGAAAGAAAACCCAUUGUUGAAUCCAAUGAGCAGCGCGCCGGAUAACCUGCAAAAAAUUAGUUCCAUUUUGCCUGUUAAAGAUAAUGUCAUUCCUCGUCCUCCAAAUAGACCAGCAUAAAGCAGAAACACCCACACGGAUUUUGUGUUUACCCUGGAAGAAUAUGUACGAGAGGCAAAGAAGUGCGCAGAGAAACAUACUACUACAGAAGGUCUAACCCAGAUUGUCUAUAACUAUAAGAUGUUCGUUGACACGCUUUCCCCCUACUCUGAACGCCUGAAUGUUCUGAAAUGGUUCAUCGGGUUUGACAAAGCGCAAACAUACAAAGUUAUCGGGGAUCAUCUCAACUAUAUAUUUGGGCUCCUAUACACCAGAAUGGCAUCGGACCUCACUUUACCUGCAUACUUAUCCUUACUCCUUCCCUUCCUUGCCGUAGCUUCCCUGACGCUCUUCGCCAAGAGCAACAAGGAUGGCUACGACAGGAGCGAUGUCACCGUGACAUACAUCCUGUUGGGUUGUACUGUUGCGCAGGAGCUGUUGCCCUGCGUGGUCACUAUUUUCCUGAACCGGGCUCUAUCGAAGCUGACUUCUUGCCAGGACACGGUCUGCCAGUCCAGCUUCAUGUCCUUCUGCGUCCGCAGGAAGAAUCCCACCCUGGUGAUGAGGCUUCAUCUUUUACCACAGCUGGUAAGAGGAGAGGUAUGAUUAGUCAACGGUCAGGAUUAAACGGCCCGACAGCCCAUCAACAAGUACACCAUCGGAAAAAAAAAUUACUAUCCCGAAACGGGCCCAACAAUUGGCCCAGCAGGAGAGAAGUCGGCAGGCUCCAUCACGAGAGCAGUCGCCGGCCUCCCUCAACAUCGCGUUCUCCCUGGAGCGUGACCGCCGACGCCAUCCCGUCGGCGUCGUCCUUCGCGGAGCACAACCGUCGCCUCCGUCGACACCCUCGCGAGCCUCCGUCAACACCCUCGCCAGCCUCCGUCGUGUGACCGCCGCCGCCAUCACGGCAUCCCGUCGGCGUCGUCCUGCGCGGAGCGCAACCGCCGCCUCCGUCGACACCCUCGAGAUCCCGUUGUCCCGCGUGGAGACCGCUGCCGCCAUCGACACCCCGUCCUCCUGCAUCUAGGGCGACCGCCACCAUCCUGCAUCGUGGGUGGCCGCCGCCACCAGCGGAUCGGCCCGGUCCUGCAUCGCCGGCACCAGACAUGGAUGGUCAAGGCCCUGGCGACGAGGAGAGUGAAGAGUAUCUCCUCGUGAUUUGCUCGAGCACUCUCAGUAUUACAAGUCACGUAUCCGCAGGAAUGAAGAGGAGCUGGAUGCCAAAGCUUCGCAGUCGGUACCUUUCACUAAAAUAUCCGAUCACCCACUGUUGAAAAGUGUUGCCCGUAUUUAUACUCCGGUAAUGUUCAAGAUGGUAAAGGAGCAGAUCAUGAAAUCUGAUGAAUGGGAGAUUGGUGAGGUGACCCAGCAAGAUGCCUUUGGUUUUAGUUGUAUUGUAGUCAGUAAAUGGGGCAAUCAUGAUGUGACGUGUGUUUUUCGCGAGACCUUGAUGGAGAGCGUGUGCUGCCACUGUCGGAAGAUGCAGCGUGAGGAAAUCCACUGUGCACACGUAUUUCGUGUUCUGAAACACCUAGGCUUCCGCGACUUACCUCGUUGAUGUAUUGCCGUCAGAUGGACAAUGCAAGCUAAAGCUGGUUUGGAACCCGAGGGCAAUAACAGUAGACAUGUUUGGUCUGAACAGAUGGAUCGGUACCGCGAACUCCGAAACAAGACGAAUACAUUUCUAUUCAAAGCUUCAUUGAGCAUCCAGGAAUCACAUAGAGUGAUGGAAUUUUUUAACACUAUUUCGUUGGAUGACGACGAGAAUGCUGAGGCUGGCGAGAAUGAUGUCAAUACUGCUUCCAGAACAUUUGGUCUGUUGCCUGCAUAUUUUUCAGGGGCAAACCAAGCUUUUACUGGGAAAGUUCUCGUGAGAGAUUCAGACCCGCGGACUAAGGUGCACUACAAGGAGACCCCCUCUACAGCAACAGACUUAUGCGUAUCUAAAUGUCCAUAUAGGCGUUGCUAGCGCACUUACCAACAGAUAAAAUUGCAUUGCGUUUUUGGGUGUUGCAAGGGUACAAUGCAACGCAUAUACCUG